rnacentral:rRNA from 1 species
UACGUAGGGGGCUAGCGUUAUCCGGAAUUACUGGGCGUAAAGGGUGCGUAGGUGGUUUCUUAAGUCAGAGGUGAAAGGCUACGGCUCAACCGUAGUAAGCCUUUGAAACUGGGAAACUUGAGUGCAGGAGAGGAGAGUGGAAUUCCUAGUGUAGCGGUGAAAUGCGUAGAUAUUAGGAGGAACACCAGUUGCGAAGGCGGAUCUCUGGACUGUAACUGACGCUGAGUCACGAAAGCGUGGGGAGCAAACAGGAUUAGAUACCCCGGUAGUCCCUGAGCGGG